AGUGAACGCUGGCGGUAGGCCUAACACAUGCAAGUCGAACGGCAGCACAGUAAGAGCUUGCUCUUACGGGUGGCGAGUGGCGGACGGGUGAGGAAUACAUCGGAAUCUACUUUUUCGUGGGGGAUAACGUAGGGAAACUUACGCUAAUACCGCAUACGGCCUACGGGUGAAAGCAGGGGAUCUUCGGACCUUGCGCGAUUGAAUGAGCCGAUGUCGGAUUAGCUAGUUGGCGGGGUAAAGGCCCACCAAGGCGACGAUCCGUAGCUGGUCUGAGAGGAUGAUCAGCCACACUGGAACUGAGACACGGUCCAGACUCCUACGGGAGGCAGCAGUGGGGAAUAUUGGACAAUGGGCGCAAGCCUGAUCCAGCCAUACCGCGUGGGUGAAGAAGGCCUUCGGGUUGUAAAGCCCUUUUGUUGGGAAAGAAAAGCAGCAGGUUAAUACCCCGCUGUUCUGGCGGUACCCAAAGAAUAAGCACCGGCUAACUUCGUG
rnacentral:rRNA from 1 species